GGAGCCUGGCAAUCACGUGAUCCAUGACGUAGAGGGCAGUGCUUACUUUACCAAGUAUGAAAAAUAACAUUAAUAUCAUGUGUCUUUAGAAAUGUUCACAUUUCAACCUACAACAAUUCUACUUCCAGCGGGAGAAAACACACGUAUGGACGAGGAUGUCAGGACUUGAUCUUGGGAGUUUGCUUUUCCAGGAUGCAGCGGAAAGUUGGCACGGGCGAGACGGGAACCAAGUGGUCCCAUUUGUGUCAUUUGACCUCAUUUCUGCUCCGUGAUGGUGUCACUGACCCCUGUUGCAAGCUGGAGGCUGAAGGGGAUUCCCAAUCUGUACACAAACAUGUCAAUGAUUGGUCCGCAGCAUCCUCAACAAAGGAGUUCUAC